UUAAGGUAAUUUAAGUAAGUUCUGUAUCCAAAGUUGAGCCCUUAAACUCUGUUCUUUGGUGAGUAUAUGAAUUUUAGCAUGCAGUGUUUAGUGUGAUCUGAUGUUUUAGGAGGAUUUGAGAGGAGAAUCCUAAGGCCUUUGGUUUCUUGCCAUUAGGCGCAUCCCUUCUUCACAGCGCAGUUUCUUUUCAAGAGGCUGUUGCUGCUGCUUUUCCCUCCCACUCCUUCAGUGCGACAGCCUCAGAGCUGAUGGAGACACAGAGAGCACGCAACUGGAAAAAAAUUCAGAUGUGGAAUUCGUGGAUCAAAUGGUCACCAAUUGUUUCAGCACUAUACAUUGAAUAACACAACCUUGUUCCACUGAUGAGAACUGUCAACAGCUGAUCUCUCAUUAGACAGGGUGUAGCUUUCCACAGACAGGAAAACACCACUAUGGUCCAUUUCUUUGUACUGCAAGUGGAAGGGUCAAGACAUGAAACACGGAGGCUUUUACUAGGAGCACAGCUUUUCUCCCACCCAGUGACUUCGAACCACAGCCACUGGCCUUUUCUGAUUUUGGAAGGAAAAGGAAGAUGUUAAAGGAAAAUGCCUGGAACCAGACUUCUGCCUGCACUGUAUAACCAACUCAUCCUAAUGCCCAUACUGACCAAAUGAGAGACACAUAUUUACCCUCACAGAAUGCAGACACCUCUCACAUAGCACACAGAUGACCUACAGCAGAAUGUUCCACUACCCUUGAGGCUCAUUAAUAUAUAUCAUAGCAAAAAGAUUUGCCCCUUAUUACAUCCCUUCCAUGUCACUGGGCUCGUUUAGAUAAACACAGGUUCUCUCCAACUCAGAGACCAAGCUAAAGGACAUGUAUCAGCUCCACAUGAUGAGAUUUGCCUCACUGUGGAGACAGUGCCUAUAACAGAGAAAAUAUCAACAUUGUAGCUCAUCUUCACAGCACACAGAUCCUGUCAAGAACACACAGAGUAUACAGACUUUAUUUAUCUGACACAGAUUUCUCCCCAAAGCACAUAGAUUCUCCUCAGAAAAUUUAAGUACUCCCCACAGAAAAGCCUCUCCCCACAGCAAAUCGUCCCAUGUGUGCUCCACCAAUUGAACUCCUGGCUGAUGAAGUUCAUGUGAAACAAACCUCCAUGACAUCACUUUAACCUUUGCAAAACCAAGCAGCCUUGCCCACAACACACAGACUCUUGUCACAUCAUGGAAACCUUCACCACAGAACACAGACUGUCCACAGCACAGCUUCACCCCAUAGUGUACAUAGUUUCUCCUUGAACACAGACAUACAACGCAGCUCAAAUCCCUUGCUUUGGCACAAAAGCUCACCCAAAAGACAAACUCUCCUUCUGACAACUAAAUGAAUAAGAGUAAAUUUAUGGUACAGAGACAUUCCCAAUAGCUCUGAGCAUGCUUACUCCUCCACCACAUAGCAAUGCAGAAGUAUAACCCGAAACACAUAGAUCAUGCCAUGUUAAAUAGGAUUUUAAUUUAAUAAACACAGUUUUACUACAGUGUACCAAUUCAUCUCAUGAUAAACAUACAUUGCAAACCUGCAUUGCAAACACCUGCCUCAGAGGCACUCGUUUGCCACACAUUCCAGAUUUGCAGAAUUACUCUCGAAGGUACUUAAGCCCCUCCCCACAGUACCCACACUCAACCCACAAUCCAGGUGUAAACUAUAACAUGUGAGCACACAUCUCAGAAGACCACACUCCAUUGCCACAAUGCUCAGAAUUCUCUAAGAGCAGUGUAUUUUCUAUACAUUGCAUCUCACAAAUCAACACUUCUUACAGUGGUUUUUCAGUUUAGACACAUGCCCCCAAACACAUGAAGCCAGUGUUUAAAUGACUCUCAGAUUUACCACAAAGCACCCAGAUGUUUCACUGUUUCCUACAAAACUAGAUGUGCCUACCAUAUGUAUAGAACUCUAAUAGAAUGCACAGAAUCUACUUUUAGUAUACAUACUUGCCUCAUAACUUAUAUAAAUACUUUGAAACAGUGACCUCACCCUAAAUGUACAGAUAAACCAUUCAGGUCACAGACUUGCCCUAUAAUAUACUCAAUCAUAAUUCAUAUGUUUUAAAACUUAUAGACAUACACGUGAAUGUGUAGAGUUGUUUUACAUUGUGCAGUUACACACAAUGCAAGUAAACACCUAUUAUGUAGACAUAUAUGCAUAUGUUAUAUAUAUACGUAUUAUAAUACAUAACAUACAUACUUUACCAUAUCAAUGAGCUACAAUUCUGGCCUACAGCAGAGAUACAGCUUGAUAUCCAUUAAGAGCAAGGCCUCUGGACCCAGGCUUCCUGGGCUUGCCUCCAGAUUCCAUCCUUUCCUAAUUGUAUCACCACAGGACUCGGGAAGAUGGAGAAAGGGUUUCAUCAAUUGGGUACAUUUGCCACCUAGUGACUAAACUGAAUGGUGGAAUUUGUGAUUCUUACCUCAAACUGGUAGCCUGACCUUGGCUCCUGAGUUCUGUGGUCCCUUUACAAUUGGGAGAAAGAAUGUGGACCAUCCACCCAGUCCUUUAAACAGCACCACACAUCAGUAGUUGACACUUGGGAUUCAUACCCUCCUCUGGUGGCUCUGAUGAUAUGCUUGGUGAUUCACAUGCUGGAGGAAGAAAGUAGAGAAGACCAAGAACACUGCAGCAGACUCCGAUUUUCUCUGUUCUUUCCUUACCAUUAUUGUCAUGAGCAGCAUUUUCAUAGGUGCAUUGUAAUCCUCACCAGGAGAGCAGAGAAAAAUAGAAUGUUCAUUGCAAAGUAAUCACAACCUGUAAUGUAAAGUUUGUAAAUAUCACUGAGAUACACUUUGGAGUUUUAUUUCUUUUAACAAACCAGUUUGCCUUGGACUUUUACACUGCUCUUUUAUGUCUCUUACCAUCUACCACAAAGGUCUUAAAAUCCUCUGACUUGCAUAGUGUGAGCGUUUCUGGAAUACUUUCUAGAACCUAGCAAAGUAGGAGGGGCCCGCUAGCUGUGUGUUGUCCUCCUUACUUUAAAUUCUAGUUAUCUCUAACUUGGUAUCUUGCCAGAGGGAUUAGUUUGGCAUAAGUUCAUUUGUUGUGUGUCAGUUUGCAAGAUAAGUAUUGGCUGAUCCUGAGAGGCAGUGUGUUUAUAAUGAAUUCCUAGAUUUGUAUUGGUUCCUAAUCAAGAAGGAAGAGAUAGUGUUGUUCAUAGUAUAGUUCAUUUCCAUAGUCCCUUCCUGAUCUCAGUUUUGCCCCACCCCUAGUGUUUUGAGACACUGAGCAUCCUCCAGAAAAGGAUGCUGGUACUUCCUGUUCCCAGAGGUACUUCAGAAUUCAUUUCUAGUUUGAGUGUCUAAUUCACCUUCAUAAUCUCAUUAUUUGACUAAAGUGAUGUUAAAGUGAAUUUUGAAUGUUUGAAAUUUCCUAUGCAGAUUUAACAAAGGAAAAAAUCACAAUGCUAGAGGUAAGACUCUCAGAUAUUAUUUUGUCAUAGGCAUAUGGUGAGCCUGCCUGGGCUUGUAGCUGCUUACACACAUUCUCACCUGCCGUCUAUUUUAAACUCAGUUGGACAAUUUUUCUGGGAACAGACAGGAAGUCUGACUAGCAUUGUUUGAUUUUCUGCUCUAACUGCUACUGUGCCAACCUAGCAUAAGCACUCCAUUCUGAUUAUACAUGAUAAUGAUGUGAAAAUAUCUGAAUAGAGGAAGGAAGAAGAAUAAAUCUUGGCAUGAAGUUGCCAAAAAGCGAACUUAAUAUAGCCUAAAAUGCACAAAACUACCUGGAAUGCAAGAGAUAUGUUCAGUAAUGAACUAAAUGCUGCUUUUGAGCCACAGUGUUAAUUAAAGGUCUUGCUCACACAGUUGGGAAUGAGAUGGCCCAUGUUCUCAACAAGCUCAGAAGAAGCGAAUGUGGGUUGAAAGCCCACAGGUGUUCUUAGCAUUGACUGUAUUUUGGAGUUGGGGAGGGGAGCUCUGAAAAUUAGGAUUUCUAGAAUAUCUUCCUGGCAGUAGGGCCAGCACCUAUAUAUGUGGAAAACAACUCGUGGUUCUGUCUACAGCUCUAGAUGCAAACUGCUGCUUUGAGGUGAAAUGAAAUUGAGAUAGGAAAAUGGAAGAGAAAUAGCAGUGGGUCCAGGGAAUAAGGCAAACAUGAUCAAUUCAGUAUUUGUUCUGCUACUAGUUCAAUGGGUAGUCUAACUCAAGUCACUCCAUGCUUUUCAUAGCUUCCAAAUGAAAGUAUACUAUAUUGGUCUUCAAGGUUCUUUUAAGUCUGUCAUCGUCACAUUUAGAGAAAAUUGCAUCAACCUUAUUGGUUGACUUUGUGAGCAUCUUGGCCUUUACACAGAGACCAGGGUAAAUACUAGUAUUAAACUGUAUUCAUAUCAUUUGCAAAUUGUUGUUGUUUGGACUGUGGAUGUAGUUCAGUGAUAGUGUCUCUUCUUGGUAAGUAAGAGGCCCGGGUUCACUCCCCAGCACUGUAAAAAUGUGCUUGUGAGUCAAGAUUUAUUUAUUUUAGACUCCCAGAAAAUAAAGUUAGGUAUAGGUGAUAUAGAAUAAAAAGCAAGCAAAGUCAAUUUUUUAAUGAGAACACACCUUCCAUGAGGAAUGUGUGUGUGUGUGUGUGUGUGUGUGUGUGUGUGUGUGUGUG